GCUGAUAUGGCUCAGUUGUUAGAACACACCCUUGGUAAGGGAGUGGUCUCCAGUUAGAAUCUGGGUAUCUGCACCA
rnacentral:tRNA from 1 species